rnacentral:lncRNA from 1 species
AUGAAGCUGCUGUAAUAGCUGGACGUGACUUCGCUAAUUGCUGCCCCACUGUCUGUAUGAGUUCCAGUCAAGUAAUUGAAGGAAGAUGUAUGGGUGCUGGUUGCUGUCAAAUACCAAUACCAAAAGGCUUGAAAUAUUUCAACACAUCUAUGCAAAGCUCGAAAUUAAAUCACACAGCUGUUUGGUCCUUUAAUAGAUGUGGCUAUGCAUUUCUUGGUGAGGCAAGUAAAUUCGAAUUUAAGGGUUUAUUAAAUUUUUCAACACAUCAAUGCAAAGCUCAAAAUUAAAUCACACUGCUGUUUGGUCGUUUAAUAGAUGUGGCUAUGCAUUUCUUGGUGAGGCAAGUAGAUUUGAAUUUAUGGGUUUGCAG